GAGCUUUCUUCAGCAGUACAUAAACUAAAGUUGGAACAAGACAGAAGAGUAAUGUGGCCCUUGAACAAGGAUAACAUGUAAAUUUGUGAAGUAUUUUAUUUUUGU
rnacentral:snRNA from 1 species